UACGAAGGGGGCUAGCGUUGCUCGGAAUCACUGGGCGUAAAGCGCACGUAGGCGGACUCUUAAGUCGGUGGUGAAAUCCUGGAGCUCAACUCCAGAACUGCCUUCGAUACUGGCGGUCUCGAGUCCGGGAGAGGUGAGUGGAACUGCGAGUGUAGAGGUGAAAUUCGUAGAUAUUCGCAAGAACACCAGUGGCGAAGGCGGCUCACUGGCUCGGUACUGACGCUGAGGUGCGAAAGCGUGGGGAGCAAACAGG
rnacentral:rRNA from 1 species